UACGAAGGGGGCUAGCGUUGCUCGGAAUUACUGGGCGUAAAGGGAGCGUAGGCGGACAUUUAAGUCAGGGGUGAAAUCCCGAGGCUCAACCUCGGAACUGCCUUUGAUACUGGGUGUCUUGAGUGUGAUAGAGGUAUGUGGAACUCCGAGUGUAGAGGUGAAAUUCGUAGAUAUUCGGAAGAACACCAGUGGCGAAGGCGACAUACUGGAUCAUUACUGACGCUGAGGCUCGAAAGCGUGGGGAGCAAACAGG
rnacentral:rRNA from 1 species